rnacentral:rRNA from 1 species
CUCCCGCCGGCGACCGGCGCACGGGUGAGUAACACGUAUGAAACCUGCCCGUAGCAGGGGGAUAAGCGGAAGAAAUUCCGUCUAAUACCGCGUAACAACCCAAGGAGGCAUCUCCUCGGGUUUAAAGGAAGCGAUUCCGGCUACGGAUGGUCAUGCGUCGCAUUAGCUAGUUGGCGGGGUAACGGCCCACCAAGGCGACGAUGCGUAGGGGUUCUGAGAGGAAGGUCCCCCACACUGGUACUGAGACACGGACCAGACUCCUACGGAAGGCAGCAG